CCCGAAAGGUCGAAUGGGGAAAUUCAAUCGCGUUUCGAUUGUCGGCGAUGAGUGGUUGCGUGACGGACGUGGUCCGCUUCGUCCGCGCCUUCUGCUUUUCGAACCGGCUUCGAACGCGUGCACUUUUCCUCUAGUAGGACGUCGCGAUCCGUUGGGUGUCGAUCUACGGCCGACGGUGGAGCUCUCGUAGACGUUUCGGCGUUCUACGGGAACCCGUCGUGUCCUGAACGACUCACUCGACGGUAUACAGAUGGCGUGGGGCCGCUACUAUACAAUUAGCGUUCGACCUACGGCAAGCACGUUCGGUGUCUAAGGUGGCGAUCAGACCUCGUCGGAUCCCAUCCCCGGACGACUGUUGGCUCGUGGAGUUCUCGAACAGACCUCAAUCGAAACGCCGAUCUGCGACGCUAUAGCUUUGGGUACUUUCAGGACCCGUCUUGAAACACGGACCAAGGAGUCU
rnacentral:rRNA from 1 species